AGUUGAUUAGUUUAAGUAAAAUAGAAACUUUGUAAGUUUAAGCUCUAAAUGUUAUAGAAUAAUAUAA
rnacentral:tRNA from 1 species